AUGUGCUUGCAGUUAAAUUCAACAUACAAAUUUUUGAAAUCUUAUUUCCCGAUGUUCAACUGCAGACUGGGUUUAGAUUGUUUUCAUGCCAGAAAUAAAACAGGAUACAGUUAUGGUACAACGACGAGUGGCCAUUUUCAGAAAGUUGCGAAGGCAAAUCAGAAAUGCUACAACGACGAGUGGCCAUUUUCUUCGACCAAGGCGGGGUGCUACUACCACCCGCACACGGAGCUGGAACUCAUGCCGCGGGGUGCUACAUUUGUUGGUGCGCGGAGCGGCGACCGGCGUCACCAGAUGCUGCAACCAUUGAUACGUGGAGCUGGAACCGGCGCCUCCGGAUGCUACAACUGUAGGUGCACGGAGCUGGGCCAGCAACCAGGCGGUGCUACAAGUCAAGGGCGGUUGCGAUGA
rnacentral:rRNA from 1 species